rnacentral:lncRNA from 1 species
AGGUAAUCAAAAAAUGCAUGAUACAUAUCUUAAACAGUAAAAAAAUAUAAAUAAAUACAUAUAUUACCAUCUAAAAUGACAUAGAAUAGUUCAAAGACAAAUCCAACACCAUACAAAAAUACAUAUAGAUAUGCAUUUAUAUAUACAAAAUACAAAUACAUGCACAUGCCCCCAAAACAGUUAUAAUAAAUUUGUGACAUAAUACAUCUGUCUAAUUACGCUUAAACUACACAUUUCUUCUUGUUCAUGUAGACACCACAAAUAUUCUUAUGACAAAAAAUCGUGUACUGUUCCUUUGAUAACAUUGCCUUAAUACGUUCUUCAAUAUCAUUGACUGUGUGACAUUCUAUAUGCGGUGCAAACCUUGAAAGUACUCUUGCAAUGAAUAUAUGAUCACGCAACACCUACAAAAUAAAAUAAUGACAUAAAUCUAUAUUACAUGUACUUUUCACAAAAAUAUAAUAUAAAAUAAAUAGUAUGCAUAUGUUUUCUUUUACAUAUAUAUUACAUUAUAAACAAAUACAUAUAACUCUGAAUGUAUUUACAGAAUACAUGCUUGAUCCAUAUGUAUAUUACUAUAUAAAAAAUACAAACAUGUCUCUGAUAAGUAUUUACGAAAUACAUAUCAUAUUCAUAUUAAAUAGUACAAACAUAACUAUAAUAUAUAUCUUCGUAUAUAUUUGUGAAAUACAAAGGUGACUCAUAUAAAACAAGAAUAUACAUAUGGAUUAGAGGGUAACAUAUGUACCUAUUUGUAUUUUUUUACUUUUAAGAUAUGUAUCAUGUACCUUUUGAUUACCUAUAUGUAUACGUAUUUAGUUGUCCUUUUUGUAUAUACAAAUGCAUAUUCAUAUGUAUUUUUGUACAGUGUUGGAUUUGUCUUUGAAUUGUUCUAUGUCAUUUUAGAGGGUAACAUAUUUUUUUUUUUUUACUGUUUAAAAUAUGUAUCGUCUAUUUUUAUUACCUAUAUGUAUAUGUGUAUAGUUGUCAUUUUUGUUAUAGAGAUUUUGUGUCCUAUGUGCUUAUAUACACAUGAGUUAUAUAUGUAUUUUUGUAAAUACAUAUGCAAAUACAUAUAUAUGUAUGUUUUGUACUAUAGAUACAUAUGCGGAUCUGUAUGUCAAUUUAUUUUGUAUAUUUUUCAAAUAUGUAUAUGUGAUAUCGAUAUUUAUCUUUUAGAAAUAAAAGAUAGAGAUAGAAUAGUAAAAAAUAAAAAAAAAACAAAAAAACAAAAAAAAUAAUAAAAAGGUGAAAAGGGGGGGGGGGAGAAAGACAAAUAGAAGUUAGAAAUAAAAGUGUAAAAAUAAAAGUAAAAAAAAAAAAUAAGAAGAAGAAAAUGAAAAUUGGAAAAGAAAAAGAAUAUGAGAAAAGAAAAAAAGAAAAAGAAAAAAAAUAAAGAAAAGAUGAAAAAGGAAAAAAAAACAAGAGAAAAUAAAGUGCAAAGAAAAAAAAUAAAAAAACUAAACAAUAAAAAAAAAGAUGAAAAACAGGUAGAGAUAUCAGAAAGUAAAAAGAGAAAAAAACAGUAAUGAUGCUUUAUUUUGAAUUUUUGAAAAUCAUAAAGAUAAUAAUGUUUCAUAUUUGAGUUUGAUUUGGAAAAGGAUCUACUAAUUGAAAUAAGAGUAAUUUAAGAAAAAUGAAUCUACUGCAGUAAUUUAUGAAAAAAGAAUUUAGUGUUUCUUUAUUUAACUUAAUUAAUUUGAGUAAAAGAAUGAUAGUAAAUCUUGUUGUUUAUGUAUUUUAGUAGCAACACUUUAUAAAAUAUAAAAUACAACUUACUAUUUUUCACAAUUAUGAAACAGUUAUUAUAACAAUUCUAAUUAUAGUUAUAAAUUUGCAACUUAUGAAAAUUUUCCCUUUUUAAUCCGUCCAAACUAUUGAAAUACUCCAAUCAAACAUAUAACUCUAUGCUAGUUGCGGGAGAAGGAAAAGAAAAUAAUCCACCAAUCAAAUACACCCAAUGACUGAACAAACCCCAAAACAAUCCAACUCGAAGACUAAACAAUUUUCAUAAAAGAUAAAUUCAAGACAAAAUAGCUGUGUUCUGUCGAGAAACUCAGCAACCAAAAAUCAAAACUUUGACGGAACAAAAUUUUGAAUGCCCUCAAACCCCCGAAUCAGAAAUCAAAUAUCGUUUUUAGAUUGAUGGAGAAAAUGAAUACUAAGCACCAGAUUGAAAGCUCAAAAAAUGCACGAAAUAUUUUUUUAAAAAUGAUAUUUGUUUUCUCUUCUCUACGAGAUUGCUAUGGUAUUUAAUGCAAAUAAUUUUAGUGGAUAUAACAAGUCUUUAAAUUUCUGCACCAAACAAAUAGUAUGAAAUCCUAAUGUAGAAUUUGAUCUUUUAUAGGAAAGAAAAAGUUUUUGCAUAAAAUUGAGAAAAAGCAAAAAUUGUUUUGCAAAACAAUGCUUCAACCGUAUAUAUAUAUAGUUAAAAAUUUUUAACACAUUCUUUUAUAAAAGAUAUCAAUAAAAAGACAUAUUCUUUCAUUUAAAAUUAAAACUAAAAUAUUAAUUAUUUUAUUUAAACAUUACUAACAAUAUUCACCAUCAACCUUCUCACAAACGAAUGACUUCAAUAGUUGAAUGCCCAAAUAUGAAUUCAUAUUGGUUCUUAAAAGUAAACACCCUCAGGGGCGGAUCAAUAAAUUUGAGGGCCUAAAGUCGAACUUUAGUAUGAGGCCUUAAUUUAAAAGUAAAUAAAUAAUAAAAUUUAUCGCUCCCCCCUCUCCCCUCGCCUUCUAUGUAUAUAUGUAAAGUCGUUGCUUACUUAGAUAAAAGAGAAAAUGAGAAGACAUAAUUUACUUUAUUUAUUUCAAUUAUCAAAUGUAAAUGAUCCAUAAAAAGUCAUAUUCAAAGAACGUAAUAAGGAUCUAAAAGAGUAAUUUAUAUUGUCUAAGAAAAGAAAGUGCAAUGGUAUAUUCAUAAGUUCAGAAGUCUUCUUUUUUAUUAUACUUACUUCAUAUCAAAGUACUUGUCAUGUUCCGUUUUAAACUGUCAAACUGUAUACAUCUGAAAAAUUGUAAUUUAUAGAGCUUUUCAUGUAAUUUAGAAAUAUCUGAUGUUUAAUUUUUAUAUGUUAAAUUAAUUUAAUCUAAUUUAACUUCAAAAAUUAUUCAAAUUAACUUUCAAAAAGUGAAAUAUACCAAGUAUUUUGAAUGAAAGGAGUAAUUAUUUAUAGAUUUUACAUUAUAUUUUACUAAAAAAAUGAAUAAAUAACAUGUACAUACAAUUAGUAAAAAAUGUAGACCCCAAAAACUUGAAGGCCUGAAGCAUUUGCUUCACUUGCACACCCCCUCCUCACCCAGCUUCACCACCUUCUUCCAAACUUUCAUAGUAUUGCUAGCAACUUGUUUCCUAUGUAAUUGUUGCAAUUUUGAAUACUAUCCUUAUUUUGUACAAAAAUCUAUAUGCGUAUGCUAAUUAAUUCUUUAUAUAUUAGUGAAUAUGUUAGAAAUCAUUACUCCUGUUAGCAUUGGGUGUCAGACCUCUUCAGAUAAAUCUAAGCCUAUUGGCGGACAUUGAUAUUAAAACUUAAUGAAUGUACGCACAUAUAUUGAUAUACUUAUUCAUUUUUUUUUUCAUUUUGUAAUACCUUGGGAAUUUCUCAAAGAAAAUCUUGCACUCCUCUAAUUUCUUGUAAAGAUUUUUGUCCUUUAGAAUUGUUAUAUAUUAUUAAUAUGAUUUUCAUCAUUCAAAUAUUGCAAAAUCAGUAUAUAUAUUCUAAUCCCGAUAUGCGAUUCACACGCAAUAACAACACCACAUCAAAUUUAAUUAGUCAACUAACGAUCACGACUCAAUUGGAAAAAAAAAAAAAGUGGAAGGACUUAGCUUUUAAGUUAUUGUAGGAAUACAGAUCAAUUCGAAUAAACACUGAUAUACAUGAUCCAUUUUAAUAAUAAGCUCAAAAUAUAUAUAAUAGUACUAGUUGGGAGUUGGGCUAGAUAUAGACGAAGAGCCGUGUCUGUAACGACGUCGAUGUUAUAACAUCUAUACUCUAUAUUUAUAUCUAUAACAUAUUAAAAGUGUGAAAAUCUUAUAAAAAGUGAUUUGAACUUUUUGUCCUUUAUUAAAAAGAUCAUUCUUUAAAAAAAUUAUCUUUUCACUAUUUUUUUGAAUUAUUAUUUAAUUAUUUUUAUUAUAUUAAAUAGACGUCUAAAAUAUAUAGGACUCCUAAAAUAAAUAGAAGAAUAAUCAAUUAAUAUUUUUUCUUGUACUGAUCAAUUAUUAAAAUACUCCUAAAAUAUUACUCUAUUAAGGAAAUACUUCUAUAAAUAUUAAGAUGCAGGUUAAACUACCGAAAAAAUCAAUUUACUUAUUGGCAAAAUAUAAUUGAUGCUCAUCUAACUUAAUUUGGUUGCAUGUCUAGAUUGGUGAAUGCUUAAUUUUCUAACCCUCAACUCUUUCACUGUUUUUGUAAACAUAAUAGAAUUCAACGUGUGUGUAUAUAGAUAUCUUCUUUAUUUUCAUUCAAGUCAUUCUUUAGGGUCAAAAUUUUCGCUUACGCAAAAAUUAUUUUCAUCAAAAUUGAAGCUUUGUGAUCACUAUUGUAUUAUUUUAUUGUAGUUUGCAGGUCGUAGAUUAUUGUACAGGUGGUAGAUGAAUGUCGGUCAGCUUUGAGAAUUUCCUUUACGUAAAGAUUAAGGUUAAUUGUAUUGUUUUUAUAUCUCUGCUUUGAGAAUAUUUUUUGAGUAAAGGUUAAGUUUAGUUGUAUUAUUUUGAUAUCUCUAUUAUCGAAUUAUUUUGUUAUAGUUUACAGAUGCUAGAUGAUUGUCAAACGACUUUGACAAAAUUUUUGUGUAAUUAUAUUGUUUUGAUGUCUCUAUCAUCGUAUUAUUUUUUUGUAGUUUACAAGUGGUAGAUGAAUGUCGAUCAGCUUUGACAAUUUUUUUUGAUAAAGUUUAGGUUUAGUUAAAUAAAUUCUCCAAAAGAUGUUGAAAUUUAAUUAUUGUAUUUAUCUUUGUUAUUGAACUCAAUAAAGUGAGGUACACGUGCGAGGCACAUACACCUAAACUAGUAUUAUAAAUAUACUAAACACAUGCUUCCUCCAUUUCAUAAUAAUUAAUUAUUUUAUUGAAAAUAAAUAUUUAUAUUAUUUUUUUCUUUUUUUUUCUUGGAAUGUUCAAUAAUAUUUGUUCAGUUUAUAAAAUCAAUGAAUAAUUUAUCUAUUUCUAUCCAUUUUACUUUUAACAUUAAAUACGAUUCAUUAUUAAUAUUUUUCAAAGCAUAAAAUAUAUUAUAUUAAAAGAAUAAUAUGAAAAAAUUAUUCCUAUCAUUUGUUGUUUCUUAAUUUUUGUGCCAAUAGAAAAAUGGACAAGUAAAUAUGGACGAAGAGAGUAAUUGAUUAUCUUAGUAAAUAAAGAAGUAUUAAUUAAUUUUUUUUUUCCUAUUAUUCUUGCAAUUAAUUAUUUUAAAAGUAUUCACAUUUGUAAAGUUCUCAAAAAUUCUUUUAAGGCUAUAAAAUUACAUUUUUAUUUAUAAUUUCUUAAUAUGUGUUGAAAAAAAAAGCCCAACUAAUAUAAAACAGAAAACUACAUAAAAUGCUUUUUAUAUUAUUUCUUCAUUAAUAUAUUUCCUCUCUAAUUAAUUUUUUAUGUUUGGUUUAGUCAUUAAUAUAUUUCCUUUCUCUAAUUAAAUUAAUAUAUUUUACUUAAAUCAAGAAUGUAUUAUUAUUUUUAAAAAAUAAAAAUAAAAUUGGGGUAAAGACAAGGGAAUGACAAGGUAGCUAGCAAAUAUACCAAAUCUUCAUCAACAUGAUAAAAAUUUAAGUAGAAAAUUAAUUUUAACUACUAAGAUUCUCUAUUGUUGUUGUUGUUAUUAUUUUUAUUUAAAUUUUAAAAAAAAUUAUGAAUAGAAAUUGCAAGAUUAGAAACUAAAACCUCAUCGAUAUAGCAAAAGUUCAAGUAGAUCAAUUAAUUGAGUCAUUAAAAAUAUCCUUAUUAUUAUAUAUUUUAUUCUAAGAAGAAAACGAGAUAAAUACUAAAUUUAUAGUGUAGAAAAAGAGAUAAAUACUAAAUUUAUAGUGUAGACAUAUUGAUCAGCUAUAAAAGGGCAGAGAAACUCAUGUAAUGUAACCACACACACUACUAAAAUACAACUUUGUAACAUAUCAUUUGAGAGAGAGGAAAAAUGAGCCUUGAAGGGAAGUUGGUUUCUGAGAUAAACAUCAAGUCAGAUGGAGAUGUGUUUCAUGAGAUUUUUAGGUAUAGACCACACCAUAUUUUUAGUAUGUGUUCUGAUAAAAUACAGAAUGUGGACAUUCAUGAAGGUGAAUGGGGUACUAUUGGCUCUGUCAUAGUUUGGAAUUUCACCCAUGGUAAGUCACCACUCUUCUGUAACACUUUUAUAGGAGAUAAAUAUAAUUUAGAUUUUUUGAAGUUAAUGAUAUUUCAUAAUGAUCUCGAGGUAAUGUAAAAUAAUAACUAGGUUCAUAAUAAUUUAUUUAUAAAUAUUUUAUGAAUUUUUUUUACCGAAGAAGAAUACCCACUAGAGUUAAUUUUUGAAGUUUGGUGAGGUCCAAGAUUCAUUUAACAAAUACAAAAUAUAAAUUAACAUAUUGAGCUCGGAUGAACCCACAUAUACCUUAAGGACUAGAUCCGCACUUGGUUAUAUUGCCAGUCUCCCGUUUUUGACACUCUCUAUAAUCUAAAAUAAAUGUAGUUUAAGGUUUUUGACACAUUUAUUAACAAAUUCAUUUAUUAUUGGUGAUCAUAAGUAGAGAUGAAUUCAAAAUUUAAAUUUUUAUAGUCUUAAACACUAAGCUUCUUACGCAUAAAUCUAUUAUAUUUUUUAAGUUAUGUGUUCAGAUUUAUUUUCUCCGUUUCAUUUUAUUUGGUCUUUUUUAACUUGACGCAUCCAUUAAGAAAACAUAAACUAAAAGUGUAUUUAUAAUUUAAUCCUUUUAAUGAUGUCUUAAAAUUCUAAAUCUAAUUAUCACUAUUUUCUUUAAUUAUUUAAUAUUGAGGAUAAUAUAAGAAAAAAAUAAUAAGAUACUCUUGAUUUACAAAAAUAAAUAACUAAUUUAAAAUAAACAUAUUAGGAAGGAAGACCAAACAAAAUAAAAUGGAGGGAGUAUUACGGUUAUUGCAACUUACUAAAUAUAUAUACAUAAAUUUAUGAUCAUAAAUUGAGAUGAAUCUGAUGCCACAACACUACAUCCACCUAUGAUCACAAGGAUUAUUUGAAUAAAUUACCCUGUAUCUCUCCUCAUACUUUUAGAUCACCUAUUGGAGAAAGGAUUGACUUGAAGAAAAGAAUUAAUGGUUUUUUAAUUUUAAAGCGACAUUUAUUUAAUUUGAAUCAAAUUGAUUUGGGUAAAACGAUACUCACUUGGACCGCAAGGUACUUUUUACAUGUUGAUGAUUUGAGUUAAUCAUAACAUACAAAGACUUAUUCAAAAUUAAAUUUAGAAUCCGUUUGAAUUGAUUUGUUUUAAAUGUUCUCUAAGCUAGUUUGUAAUAUUUGAGAAACAUAACAAAUAUUUUAAACAAUUAAUUUCAAGUAAAAAUAACAACAAAAAGAGUCAAAAAUCAGAAGCUAAAAUUCCCUAAUUUAAUGCUUUAUACUUAAAAAGCCAUCCAAAAUAAGUUCAUUCAAACAAAUUCCUACAAUGAGUAUGUUGUCAUACACUAUAUUUUGUUGUUAUCUGUGUUCAAUUGAACACAUAAAAUCGGCCCUACAUCCACCUCUCAGCCCUUCAAUGAUAAACCAAUAGAAAAAUUGAAAGCAAGAAAAAUAAAAUGCAAACUUUCCUUGGUAUUUCAAAACUAACCACUAAAAAAUAUUAUCACUAAAUAAAAUUAAUUUAGCAAUAGAUUUUGCUACUUAAUAACAUAAUUUAUCAUUCGCUAAUUUCCGUUAUAUGUAACAGAUGGGAAAGAGAAAGUAGCAAAGGAGGUCAUUGAGGAAAUAGAUGAAGAAAAGAAGUUAGUCAAAUUCAAAGUGAUUGGAGGAGAUAUAUUGGAAGCUUACAAAUCAUUUUACCUUACUGUCCAUGUUGAAACAAAGGGUGAAGACAAUUUGGUUAGUUGGAUUUUGGAAUAUGAGAAGUUGAAUCCUGAUGUAGCAGAUCCACACACAUUAAUGGAUUUCUGUCUCAAUGUUACAAAGGAUAUUGAGAAA